rnacentral:rRNA from 1 species
UACGAAGGGGGCUAGCGUUGCUCGGAAUCACUGGGCGUAAAGCGCACGUAGGCGGAUUGUUAAGUCAGGGGUGAAAUCCUGGAGCUCAACUCCAGAACUGCCUUUGAUACUGGCGAUCUUGAGUUCGGGAGAGGUGAGUGGAACUGCGAGUGUAGAGGUGAAAUUCGUAGAUAUUCGCAAGAACACCAGUGGCGAAGGCGGACUCACUGGACGGACUGAUGACGCUGAGGUGCGAAAGCGUGGGGAGCAAACAG